GACGAACGCUGGCGGCGUGCUUAACACAUGCAAGUCGAACGAAGUGGCGAACGGGUGAGUAACGCGUAAUAAACCUGCACUUACGGGGGGGACAACAGUUGGAAACGACUGCUAAUACCGCAUACUGAAGGGGGGGAAUGAGGCUGAUUAGCUAGUUGGAGGGGAAACGGCCCACCAAGGCGAUGAUCAGUAGCCGGUCUGAGAGGAGGAACGGCCACAUUGGGACUGGGAAACGGCCCAGACUCCUACGGGAGGCAGCAGUGGGGAAUCUUCCGCAAUGGACGAAAGUCUGACGGAGCAACGCCGCGUGAGGGAUGACGGCCUUCGGGUUGUAAAGCUCUGUUAAUCGGGACGCGGUACCGGAAUAGAAAGCCACGGCUAACUACGUGCCAGCAGCCGCGGUAAUAC
rnacentral:rRNA from 1 species